AUUCCAGUGCCCCGUGGCCCCCUCAUAACCCCAACUAAUGAAUGUCCCGUGGAGCCUAAUGUUGCUCCUGGGGGAGCACACAGCUCUCCCAGCAGUGGAGGAGUUGAUGACAUUCUGAAGUUUUAACCCAUGGAGAGCCACCUGAGGACGCUUGGAGAACUCAGGAAGCCUAGAAACAAUCUUUCAAACACCUGUGUGCUGGAAAAAAGGAGGAAAACAACAUUCCGCUCUAUCCAUUUGUUUGCCAGGUCUGGUCUCAGGACACAGAAUGGAAGCACAGGGAAGGUGAUUCAGUUCUGGAAGCGUACAGAAGAGAUCAAAUCAUCCAUGUGGCAAAUCCUUGGGCAACUCAGCUGCUUGUGCACGCCCAGAGGAAGGCUGGUGGCAGAUUCACGUAUUUGCGGAAGCAUGGGAGGAUCACUUCGCCAAAUGUAGUAAAACACUCAGAAGGGAGCAGAAUCAAAGGUCGGUGUCUUCACUUGGAAAUGGUGCCUCCUUCCUGCCCCCUCCAAAAUCAGCAGAGACAAAGCAGCCAAUCUUCAAACCAUCCAAAGCCAUUUCUUGACAGAGAGCUUUCAUUUUUAUUAGAGUGCAAG